rnacentral:rRNA from 1 species
CCUACGGGAGGCAGCAGUGAGGAAUAUUGGUCAAUGGGCGCGAGCCUGAACCAGCCAAGUAGCGUGAAGGAUGACUGCACUGCGGAUUGUAAACUUCUUUUAUAAAGGAAUAAAGUGAGGCACGUGUGCCUUUUUGUGUGUACUUUAUGAAUAAGGAUCGGCUAACUCCGUGCCAGCAGCCGCGGUAAUACGGAGGAUCCGAGCGUUAUCCGGAUUUAUUGGGUUUAAAGGGAGCGUAGAUGGGUUGUUAAGUCAGUUGUGAAAGUUUGGGGCUCAACCGUAAAAUUGCAAUUGAUACUGGCAGCCUUGAGUACAGUUGAGGUAGGCGGAAUGCGUGGUGUAGCGGUGAAAUGCUUAGAUAUCGCGAAGAACUCCGAUUGCGAAGGCAGCUUACUAGACUGCCACUGACAUUGAUGCUCGAAAGUGUGGGUAUCAAACAGGAUUAGAUACCCUAGUAGUC